GGAGCAAACAGGAUUAGAUACCCUGGUAGUCCACGCUGUAAACGAUGAAUGUUAAAUAUGGGAAGUUUACUUUCUGUAUUACAGCUAACGCGUUAAACAUUCCGCCUGGGGACUACGGUCGCAAGAUUAAAACUCAAAGGAAUUGACGGGGACCCGCACAAGCGGUGGAGCAUGUGGUUUAAUUCGAUGCAACGCGAAAAACCUUACCACUCCUUGACAUGGAAAUUAUACCUAUUCGAAGGGAUAGGGUCGGUUCGGCCGGAUUUCACACAGGUGUUGCAUGGCUGUCGUCAGCUCGUGUCGUGAGAUGUUGGGUUAAGUCCCGCAACGAGCGCAACCCUCAUCCUUAGUUACCAUCAGGUAAUGCUGGGGACUUCAAGGAAACUGCCAGUGGUAAACUGGAGGAAGGUGGGGAUGAUGUCAAGUCAUCAUGGCCCUUAUGGAGUGGGCUACACACGUGCUACAAUGGUGGCUACAAUGGGCUGCAAAGUCGCGAGGCUAAGCUAAUCCCUUAAAAGCCACCUCAGUUCGGAUUGUACUCUGCAACUCGAGUGCAUGAAGUUGGAAUCGCUAGUAAUCGUGGAUCAGCACGCCACGGUGAAUGCGUUCUCGGGUCUUGUACACACUGCCCGUCACGCCAUGGGAAUUGGUUUCACUCGAAGCUAACGACCUAACCGCAAGGAGGGAGUUAUUUAAAGUGGGAUCGGUGACUGGGGUG
rnacentral:rRNA from 1 species